AUUGUAAUCUACCCCUCCUUACUUCUAUAAAAGGAGAAAUAGAAAAACUUAGAAGACAGACUACAUUUUCUCUAAAAUAUGUUUUUUUUAGAAAAUUGUUAGGUAUCUUCUUUAACGAGUGAGUGAGCAUUUUCUCCCGCCAGGAAAAAGUAAUAAUAGUGUGUAUGUAAGUAUAAAGAAAGAUCUGAUUAAAGAUUUUUCUUAUGUUGUAAUAAGUUCAUGGAAUAAAAAUUUGUUUUAUAUACCUUGUCAAUCUUUUAUACUGGUAAAAAUGAUGGUUGCGAUCAUCGGCCUAAACGGAGGAAGAACGGAACAGUAGCCAAAACUGUAGGACCAAGAAGGCUAAAGGGGUUCUUCAUAGCCGGAAGGAGAAACACUGCGGUGUUGAUACGACCAACGUAAAGGAAAGACGAAAGUGAUCUGCAUAAAUACACACCCAAAAGCUCCCAAGAAAUCAGCAGAAGGACACUAGAAGGUGGUGUGAACUAAGAAACCAUCUAAUCCAAAUCUGAUGAAGAGGGUGAUUCCGAGUAGAUUGAUUCUUCAUCACAGUCAUCUCCUGUACUAUCAAUAUCUGAAGAUACAGCGAGGCUGUCCUCAUGUUCAUCGAUCCAAGGGGUACGAAAGUCUACUAGCUUUUUACAUCUUUCCUCAAGAUUACCCUUCAGUUCCACAUUCCAACAUGCUUGGAUUUCAAGGUGCGUUAGUGCCUUACACUCUGUGAGAAUAGCAUCAACGCCAGUGUCGCUCAACCGGUUGAAAGCGAAGUCAAGGCGCUGGAGACCUCUCAUAGUUUCUGCUAUAAUCAGUGCCUCCUGAUCGUGGACAUCGGAAUCUUCUAAAGUGGUUGGCAGCUCCCACAUAGGCAUGUUUCUUCUGAGAUGAGUCAACGACUUGCAUUGUUUUCCAAAAGCUUUCAGACCCUUCGCUGUGAUCUUUAAACAGUAGCUGACGUCUAAGAAUGUUAAAUUGACCAAGGACCCUGCAUGCUUUUCCACUACCUCGUCAGUGACUUCACUCAUAGGGAUUUGCAGUAUCUUGAGACAUUUUCCACUGCAAAAAAUAUUGGUAUACUCUAUAAACUAAGAUCAUUAUAAUGACACCCUUGCAUCAAUCUAAGAUAAAGAACCACGAGUCUUGCAUAACUAGUCUGUAGGCUAUACAUGACCUGAGUGAAGUACAGGUAAUGUUGGGUAGAACUUCUUGCAAGCCCAAAAUUGACUAAAUAAUACGUAUCAUACAAUUGGAUGUCUUAUAGUUAUUCUAACCUAUGCAGAACUUCACAAGAGAAUUUAUUAGCAUAACUGAAUUAUAGAUUAGACAGUUCUGAGCUAUUAUGUGUCAUUUCCUUUCUCCUUAAAAGUGAAACUGGAAAAGAAAAGCACAACAGUUCAUAUAGAAGACAUGUAUUAGUGGAAUAAGCCAAGGGCACAGCCGAACAAGCUAAUUCAUCACAAUGAAGUUUUAUUUUACUGAAACUAGUAGCUUAUGUGCAAGUUUUUUGAUAUGAUCAAGAUUUAAAUUGUCAAGGCAUCAACUAACGGAGUGCAAUUCAAAAAUGAGAGAUUUAAAUUGUCAAGGCAUCAACUAACGGAGUGCAAUUCAAAAAUGAGGGUCAGUUGAUGAAACUCUGGAUGGCUAAUCAUCAUUGGUCGUUUUCUUUAAGUUUUCACAUUUUGGCCAAAUGCCCCUUAACUUUUCUGGUUAGCACCUCAAUUAGGGCUGGUACCUAUUGAACACUCCAAGCUAAUAAAUUAAAGUGUACCUAUUAAACUCCUCAUGACUAACCACUCAAAGAGAUACAAAGCGUGAACUACAUGCACGGUGACAUGGAAAAAUUGACAAAUAAGAAAAAGCCAUGUAGCUUGUCUGUCCAACUAAUCAAAGAAAUGGCUUCCAUACAAAAAGAGGAAACCUAUUCCAAGACCUCAAACUUAUUCCAACUCCCGCCGAAAAGGGGAAAAGGGAAUACAAAGAAGUUUUAACUUAAGAGGGAAGAAAUUAUAGAAUGUCUUAUCGAAUUCCAAGCUCAAUAGAUUAAAAAAGGCAAUUGACAAAUUCUGUUCGUGAAGAUAUAUUAUUACAGCUUUUUGUACUCCACAUGCUGAAUUGAGUGACGAACUACGGCAAAAUAUGGUUUACAGCUCAUAAGGAAAGAUGGACUGCAUGAGGUUUUAUAUGCCAUUUUCAGAUGACCAAAGUUUAGCAAGAAAUUGAUAUUGUAUUUUCAAAUAGGAUUAGGAGCAGAAUUGAUUGUAUAUUUGUUGCUCUAGUCCUCUGGACCUAAAUGAUGGUGGGCUGGCAGCAUAGAAGGUUAAGGGGAAAGAGGAAGAAAGAAAAGAAAUUUGAAAAAGAAAAAGUCAUAUUUAAGUGAUUCACGAGCUCAUCACCAGUGAAAACCACUUUUUAUGC